rnacentral:rRNA from 1 species
GACGAACGCUGGCGGCGUGCUUAACACAUGCAAGUCGAACGGAAAGACCCUGCUUGCAGGGUACUCGAGUGGCGAACGGGUGAGUAACACGUGGGUGAUCUGCCCUGCACUUCGGGAUAAGCCUGGGAAACUGGGUCUAAUACCGGAUAGGAGCCAUUUUUAGUGUGAUGGUUGGAAAGUUUUUUCGGUGUAGGAUGAGCUCGCGGCCUAUCAGCUUGUUGGUGGGGUAAUGGCCUACCAAGGCGGCGACGGGUAGCCGGCCUGAGAGGGUGGACGGCCACAUUGGGACUGAGAUACGGCCCAGACUCCUACGGGAGGCAGCAGUGGGGAAUAUUGCACAAUGGGCGCAAGCCUGAUGCAGCGACGCCGCGUGGGGGAUGACGGCCUUCGGGUUGUAAACUCCUUUCGCUAGGGACGAAGCUUUUUGUGACGGUACCUAGAUAAGAAGCACCGGCUAACUACGUG